UCAAACGACCCAUUUUUAGGCCUAAUUUUUGGAUCUAGCCCAUAGAACCCAAGCCCAAUACCCCUAAAACCCUGUAAAGAAGCUUAAAAAGACCCUAGACAGAAAACCUAGGGGUAGACCUAAUAGAUCCGCCGAUUUCAAUACAUAAAAUAGACCCCCUGAAGAUCGUCUUCUUCGAGACCCCCCACCCCCCGAUUCAUCUUCUUCAGCCAUUUUCAACAUAGGAAAACCCCAAAAUAGACCUCAUCCCAACGACCUCCCUCUUUAAAAACAAAAAACUAACAACCAACGUUCACCAGUUCCGCCAUGAACGACCACCCCCAAGAGAAAAGCUAGCCGCUCUCACUUCAGCUUCCUCACUCGAGCUGUUGCUUCGCCGAAAUUGAUCACCGGCGAGUGGGCGCCACUAGCAACGGAUAUGGCCAGAAACCCCAAAACACAUUCGCGAUUUCGUCACUUAUACAAAAAAUGAAAAAAUAUUCUGGUUUUCUUCUUCCAUUUUUUCGACUUUCGUCUCAAAAAUCAGAGGUGUUGUCCUCUGAUUUUCGUUCCAAAAUGAAGGUCAUUUGAUGUCGUGUAUGGAUUCAAACUUUCUUGUACCGAUUCGAGGUUCUGUCAAGGUCCGUGUUCGAGAGUCCUGUCUGAUUUGAGUUCCAAUCGUGGUUGUGGUUUGUUUCCAUCCGUGUAACUGCUGAAAUUUUUAUUAAUUGAAGGCAACUUGAGGUUUAAUUCUUUCCUCUCUCAUUUUAUUCUAAUAUCGAGUUUAAUAUGUUUGAGACCUCUUUAUAUGGCUUUGUUUGAUCCUUGUAGUUGUAAAUCUCCCACGUUGAAUUGACUGAAAGUAUCCCUAGCAGGUGUCCACAUUGGAAUUGGUCUUUAUUCGUUCAAAAGAUGCAUACCAAUUAUGUAACUUCUACUUAUUUGUUAAUGUGGAUUGAUACUCAGAAUUCUAAUGGUAUAUGAGUACCAUUCUAUUGAUCUAGCUCAUUUCAUGGUUUCUAAAAAAAAUUGUGCUAAAAGCUUAUCAUCUUAGACAUUCUUAUUGGACAAGACGUUCCUUUCCCAUAUUGAAAAUAUUGUGUGAUUGGUAAAACAUGGUGAUAGAACAUUUAUUGACCGGAUAUAAGUAUAUGAAUUGAUCGGAUAUAAAUAUGAAUCAAAGUAUGCGUUCCCGCGAUUUUGAACGAAAAGAUCUUAAUAAUAAUAAAAUGCUAUUAAUCGUGUAUACGUUCGCGUGAUACGAGUAUGAUUUAAAGAAUGAAUAUUCUUAUAAAAAUCGAUUGUCACCUGAAUACUUUAUGCUAAGAUGUAUUAGCUGAUGUCUCCAAAGUCUUUGUUUUGUUUCUGUAGUUUUAUGACAAGUUUCCAGGAUUCUUGAGCUCUUGUAAGUCUUAAAACACAUCUGAACUAUAAGGAAGAAGACUUAAUUUUAUACGUUGCUAAUGGAUUCAUCAAUAACAAGAACUUGUUCAGUUUGAAAUUGUGGUUAGCUUUGUUGCUUAUAAUUUUAACAUAAAGAAGGAGAAUGUAUCUGUUGAAAAAUUAUUGUAGGAUAGUUCCUCCAGAUGCUUGAAUGCAUUGAAUAUGAUAACUGGCGUGGCAUUCAAAAUAAAUCGAGGUAUGCGUUCGCGCAACUUCGAGCAAACUUUCUUAAUAUUAAUAAAGCGUGAUUAACUUUGGACACGUACGCGUGACAUGAUUUUUGACGCGCCAAACAAAUGGUACACGUGUGCAUGACCUAUUUUGAGAUAAUUUCAUAAUUAAAAGAGGUAAAUGCACAUAGGUUCUAAAAUAAGUAAUUAGACAAUUUUAUUAAGCCAAGUAUGAUCAAAGCGACCGUGCUAAAACCACGUAACUCGGGAAUGCCUAACACCUUCUCCCGGGUUAACAGAAUUCCUUACCGGAUUUCUGUGUUCGCACACCAUAAAUAAGAGUCAACUUCCUCGAUUCAGAAUUCUAAACUGGUGACUUGGGACACCAUAAAUUAUCCCAAGUGGUGACUCUGAAUUUAAUAUAAAUAAUAUCGUUUCGAUUGUCACUUAAAUUGGGAAAAAACUCCCUUAAUACCCCUUCCGAGGUAGUAAAAAGGAGGUGUGACAGUACUCAAAACAAGGAUUUUGGAGAAGUACUGUCAUCUCUCUCAAGGGGAUGUCCCAAGACCGGCUCUAAGUACCAUAAGCUUGCCCCUUAUGUAAAUCACCAUUAAUAUCAGCUCACUCAACUCGAAAUCAUAUAGGGCUUUUGCGGGAAUGUGAUGAAGGCUUUUGGUUCAAGGUAGGACUUAUUGGCAUAUGAUGGUUUCAUCUUUCCUUAAGCACUCCAUUUUCUCAUUUCAGCUCACACUUUCUUGACUCUUUGAGUCAUUUUCUUCUUCCUUAGGGGAACUAGAGAGACACACAGUCACUCUUUCUUGUUCAUGACGAUCAUUUUUCUCUUUUUCUAAACAUUCCAUACCUUUCAUCAUUGCUUUCAUUGAAUCCCUUCACUUUCUAUAUUAUUCACUUUCAUUUUGACUUUUUGGCUUUUCUUUUACUUUCCCUUUUCUUCAUUUUGUACCUUAUAUCACUUUCACAUUCCUCAUCUCUCCCCCAAACUUAUGCUUUUGCCAAUUGUAAAUGCUAAGGAAAGAUCGGGUGCCAAGAGAGGGUCAUUAUAGAACGGAUAAAGGCUUGUAUCAUUGUUAUUGAAAGAAAAAGGGCUUCGGAUCAACGGGGUUGACUAGGGAUAUUAUAUUUGUUAGGUUAUGGAUGCUUUCAAAUUUCAAAUUGGAUCAAGGAGAGCCUAUAAUCAUUUCUCAAGUCGAGCUACACUUAGGAUUUUGCCUAGACAAACAUUCAGGGCAAGUUCUAGACUUAUUGGCACGGGACAUGGACUUGCAAUUCAAUACCUCUCCUCACAAGCUGUUGGAUUGUUAAAGAGGACAGAUUCAAGCGCCCACAACAAACCUAGCUAAUAUUGAGCAUCACAAAUGACUCCAAGAAGCCACUCGAUGAUUGUUUAGUCAACACAAGAGUCUAAAGGUCACAACUAGAACUAUUCUUUGCCAAUCAACUUGUUUCCAACCAUAAGGUCGAAUGUAAAUGUGUUAGGCCCAAGUGAAGCUUGCUUGAGACACUUCUAUUCAUUACUACUAUUUAUACAAGAACAUAAAGAAAACGGGCUCAAUCCCUUAAGAAGGUUGUCACGCCAUCCAUCAUCGAGAAGAGCCACCCAGUUCACACAACAUCCACCUUUGGAAAGGACUAUGACAUUAAGAAAACCAAAGGCUUAUUGUUCACAUAAAAUGUAAAAAAGAAACUAACAACUUAACAAGAAACUACUAAAGGAAAUAAGAAUCUAUGAAGUAAAUUACGGAAAUCAACUGAAUAUAUACAAAGUUGAAGUAAAGCGAAUAUUUACAUAAAUGAAAACGAAUAUAUACAUCAAGUGAUAAAAAUAUAUACAUACCAAAUGUGAAGGUUACGAAUUUAUACAUACCAAAAGUAAAAUAAAGAGAAGUAAAGAUAAAGAAAAAUAGUCUCAUAGUUAUUACAUACCAAUGUUAUCCAAUUAUCACCAAAUCAAAAUAGACCCCUCCCCCCCCAAAUAAAAGAUAACAUUGUCCUCAAUGCUAAUGCCAAAAAUAAGAUCAGCGAAAGGGUUAAAGAGCAAAGAAAACUUCCUAUGUGGUCUGCAUCGGGUCCGGAACAUGAGUAGGGUCCUCGAACUGCAUAGGAUCGGCAUAUCCCUCCGUUUCCUCUAACUAGAUCUCCAAAUCUGACUGGGGGACCAUGGGGUUACGGAGCAUCUAGAUCAACUCUGCAGCACUAUGUGUAAUGGCAGUUGGCUCCUCAGACUGGCCAGCUGCUGGUGCCUGCUGCUCUGCUGCAUGUGCUGCUGGGACUUGCUCCUCCAUGAUCAAGUCCAAUGGGAUAUCACCACUAGAUGUCAACCUCUCUACAACCUUCUUCAGCUGCUUCACUGACUCCUUUGAGGCCCGAGUCUUCUUCAUCUUCUUGACUUGCUUGCCUGGAUCCUUUAUAGCCCUUCCAUGAAUAUCCAAAUAUCCAUGAUCUUAUUCUGGUUGUCCAGGAGCUUCUUCUGGUUGUCCAGAAGCUCCUUCAAUGACUCCUCCACUAUUAAAGGUACUUGGGGCUAUGCCGGGGCUGACUGUGCUGCUACUGCACUGGAUAAGACAGACAGCUUUGAUGUAGCUGCCUGCAUGCAGUUGUUGAUGCUGGAUAAAGUCUGAGAAACCCGCAGUGCAGUCUGAAAGUAAGUGGAAGAAGAGGGCACAAACAAUGGCAUGGUGAUGGAUGGCUCGGAUGAAGGAGGGGGUAUGGCAGCUGAAUAUCCCCCUACUAUGGAAGGCUCUGACCUGGCAACUACUACCCUUGGCUCUUCAGACUGGCCAGUGGAGAUAGCGGUUUUAGCCUUUUCUUUAGGGUUGUCCGGUCCUUUGGUGUUGUACCAGGAGAAGGGCUUCUUUUGUUUUGUCUUAGUGUCAUAGAUCUUCUUCUAACCUCCUUGGUCCUCGAAAUACAUGGUGAGGAAGUUGGGGUAGGGGUAGGAUCUUUCUUCCUUUCCAACCGCCUUUGUGAUGUGAUAGUACAUGAGGUUCCCCACAUUGAUAGGAUACCCCGCCAUGAUGGAGGCUAUCAAGACACACUGGUUAAGUGGGAGGACAUUGUCAUGCUGACACAGAUCUAGCCGGCUGCACACAAAGGUGGACCAACCCUUGGCUUCAAAGCUGAGGGUGUUUCCGAAUAUUGAGACUCCAACUAUGAGCCAUGUCGAUGUCGUCCCUAGGGCUAAUACCUCCGCCAACCAUGGACGGGCUGCUUCAUCAAGUGCCAGCUUCUCCAAGUACUGCACUGCUUCGACAUCUUCAAAACUAGCAUAUUCAUUCAACGUGUGGCCAUCAGACUAGAUCUUCAAAUUUUGGACCUUUGUCACAAUGGUGCCCUUUUUUAUGUGGGCAACGUUUGCAUAGAAUUCCUUGACAAGAUAUUCAUUGGCAUCCAGAACUUUGCUGGUGAAGAAAUUCCACCCUAUUCUCUCAUCAAACUGCCUUUUCACAUUUGGAUUAUGGGGAAAGAGGUCUCUCUCUGUGAAUUGUCUCCCAAGGAUGAGUGACCUUUGGGGCCACCAUUCUCGGAACUUCUGGUAAGCUAAUUCACUCACAAAUCUGUCAGCCCACAUCUCAGCUUUUUUGGAUCUAACAACCCUCCAAUAUUGGUGUCACCCCCUCUCCCGUCAUCCGGGACCUCAUUAUCAUCAUCCACAGCAAUAGGGGUAGCUGGUGAUGCUGAAGUUGUAGCAGGUGGGGAUAAUGGUGCCGAAGCCUCACUUCCCUCCUCUGAUCCAUCAGACGACUCAAAUGAGGAGGUAGGUUCAUCUCGUAACUGGAAUUUCCCCUUGAACUGUGUGGGGACAUGAGUGGUCACAUAGUCUCCUUCCGAAGUUUCCCGGGAAGGGACAUACUCACUAGUGUCAGAAUGGUCUGCGGCUCUAUCUGCAGCUUUGAUGGCAGCUCUUAUCUUGCCAAUUGAUUUUUGGACUGUUAGGCGUAACUUGGUCUUUCCUUUACCCCUUCCUUGGGAGGGUUCUGCCCUCCUUUUAGAUGUAUCACCUCCACCUCUGGAUCAUACCAUUGUCUGUAGCAAACAAGCAAUGAAAUACAGUUAGAGUAAAGCUUCAAGCAUAUGUUAAAACAAUGCAGUUGAAAUGCAGAAACUGCUUCUAAGAACCAAGUGCCGCAAAUCGCAAAAAAGUGAACGCGGCCGCGAAGUGCCCAUCGCGGACCGCAAAAAGGUAUCUGUGGCCGUAAAGAGGUUAGGUUCAUAAUACUAACUCUCUGAUCUUGGUUGAACACGGACCGUAAAAUAAUGAACGCAGCCGCGAAAGCUGUUAACAGAGACUCUGAAGCUGAAGAGCACGAACCACGAAAUUUGGGACGCGGCCAUGCAAAUUCAAACGCAGACUGCAAAAAAGUCAUCGUGUCCACGAACAUGCAUCCAUACUCAGUUCUCACAAGUUAGGGAACGCGGACCGCAUAAAAUGGACCAUCGAUCAUGAAGUUCAAACAAAAUAGGCAAUGAUGAAUAUUUGAAACCUAGGGUUUUCACUAAGCGCCUAAAAUCCGUUCAAUUAGCAAUCAAGGUUACUAACCCUAUCCCCCAUUAGGCAUGUAAACAUAACCCACAUAUGAUUAAGCAAUAAUUUUAGAUUAAGGGAUGUAUGUCACUCUAACUAAAAAUUGAAAAGAAAAAUUGAAAUAAAAAGAAAACAAAAGAAGCAGGUAAAAUUAAUUCAUGGAUUUGAACAUACCAUUUGUGAAUUUUUUUGCAGGAAAACAACGCUUGAUUCGAAAGAGAUGAAAUUGAAAGCCAGAGAAGAUGAACAAUGUUCCUUGUUCGGUGCAAUUUAAGGGUUUGAAAAGUGUAAAAGGUUUAGGAACCCCCUAUUUAUACUUAGCAGAUGUGGACCCGAUAGACUCAUCUGAACGCCGUUGCGAAAUUCUACCGCGGUUCGCGUUUCGUUAUCUGAUGAAGAAUAGUUUAAGCAACUGACCGCGGCCCACGAAAUUUUGAACGCGGCCGCGGAAUUCACCAUGGACCGCCAAACUAUAGAUGAAGUCGCGGAAGCUGAAGGGUAUUUGACAGUCCAACUUCAGAGAGUUGGCAUUUUUCUCUUUUCAAUUACGCAUCCGCGAGUAAAAAGAUGCGGCUGCAAAAUGCUCACGAGGACCGCGAAAUUGUGGUCGCAGUCCUCGAACUUCCAACACUUAGCCAAAAUUUUCCUUUGUCAAUUUGAUGUGCUGCACAACCAAUUCCUACAUACACUUCAUAACUAGUUAGUCCAUAACAAUGCCUAAUCUAAGAAGAAAAAAAUUAAAAGAAAGAAAAACACAUGGGUUGCCUCUCAAGAAGCGCCUGAUUUAACAUCGCGGCACGACGCAUGUUACCAUUAUUCACUUGAAAUGGAUCAAUGCCACGACGUGGCCAUCAUCAACCUUACCAAGGUAGUUCUUCACUUGGUGCCCAUUGACUCUAAAGAUCUCACCAUUCUUGUUUUUCAAAUCUAGAGCACCAAAAGGAGUCACAUGCACCACUUCAAAGGGCCUGCUCCAUUUUGACUUUAGCUUUUCCAAAAACAUACGUAACCGAGAGUUGAAUAAGAGAGCAAGGUCAGCUUCUUUGAAUUCUUUGUUGCGGAUAUAAUUAUCCUGUAGGUACUUCAUCUUGUCCUUAUACAAUGACGAACUGUAGUAAGCAUGAAACCGGAACUCAUCAAGCUUAUUCAAUUGCUCCACCUUAAGAUUUGCAGCUACAUCCCAUUCUAGGUUCAACUUCUUCAACGCCCACAUGGCUUUAUGCUAUAAUUCCACUGGGAGGUGACAUGCUUUACCAAAUACCAAUUGAUACGGAGACAUACCAAUUGGAGUCUUGUACGUUGUUCUAUAGGCCUAUAAAGCAUCGUCAAGUUUCCUUGACCAAUCAGUCUGGUUUGCAUUGACAGUCUUGAAAAGAAUACUCUUGAUCUCCCUAUUGGAGCCCUCAACCUGUCCACUUGCCUGGGGGUGCUAGUGAGUUAAUACCUUGUGAGUGACACCAUACUUGGAGAGUAAAGUGUCAAAGGCUUUGUUACAAAAAUGAGAAACCCUGUCACUGAUAAUGGCUCUUGGGGUGCCGAACCUUGUGAAUAUAUUUUUCUUUAAGAAAGCCACCACGCUUCGUGCUUCAUUGUUGGGAAAAGUCACAGCUUCAACCCACUUGGGGACGUAAUCCACAUCAACAAAAAUAUAGGUGUUCCAAUAUUAACUCACGAAUGGACCCAUAAAGUCGAUACCCCACAUAUCGAAAAUGUUGAUCUUAAGGAUGGUAGUGAGAGGAAUCUCAUUCUUCUUAGAAAUCCCACCGGCUCUUUGGCACUCAUCACAAUGCUUGACAAGCUCGCUAGCAUCUUUGUACAAGGUAGGCAUAUAGUAUCCACAGCUUAGGACCUUUGUAGUAGUUCUCGCCCCACCAUGGUGACCACUAUAAUGCGAAGAAUGACAAGCUUCAAUAAUACCCAAUUGCUCUUCUUCUAGAACACAUCUCUGGAUAACACCAUCGGUGCAAAUUUUGAAAAUAUAUGGCUCGUCCCAAUAAUAAUCCAAGCACUCCCGUUUGAGAUUCUUCCUUUGGUUUGAAGAGAACUCAUUUAGGACAAUUCCGCUCACAAGAUAUUUAGCUACAUCGGCAAACCAAGGCAUCUCGGUCAAAGUCAUGGAAAUGAGUUGUUCAUCCAGAAAUGAAUCAUUGAUCUCCAGGUUGUCAUGGGUCCUCCCCUCCUCUUCCAAACGGGACAAGUGGUCCGCCACUUGAUUCUCACUCCCCUUUUGGUAAAUGAUUUCAAGAUCAAACUCUUGUAGAAGAAGUACCCACCACCUAAUCAAUCUAGCCUUUGAGUCCUUCUUACUCAUCAAAUAGCGAAGCGCUGCGUGAUCGGUGUGAACAAUCACUUUGGUACCCAUGAGGUACGGGCGGAACUUUUACAUAGCAAAGAAAAUGGAUAAGAGUUUUUCUCGGUCACCGUAUAGUUGACUUGGGUGUCGUUCAUGGUCUUACUAGCAUAGUAGAUCAGAUGGAAUAUCUUGUUGAGUUUUUGCCCCAAUAUCGCUACUACCGCCACAUCGCUAGCAUCACACAUGAGCUCAAAUGGUAAACUCCAAUUUGGUGCGGUAAUGAUGGGAGUGGUAGUCAACCUAUACUUGAGUAGCUCAAACGAUUUCAUGAAAUCAUCAUUGAAUACAAAUUUUUCAUCUUUUUCCAACAACUUGCACAAGGGGUUCACCACCUUAGAGAAAUCCUUGAUGAACCGACGGUAAAACCCCGCAUGCCCUAAAAAGCUCCUCACUCCUUUGACGGAAGUAGGUGGAGGGAGUUUUGAUCUUACUUCAAUUUUUGCUUUAUCCACUUCAAUACCAUUAUUGGAGAUCUUAUGUCCAAGGACAAUGCCCUCCUCAACCAUAAAGUGACAUUUCUCCCAAUUAUAGACCAAGAUAGUCUCUUCACAGCGUGCUAAGUCUUUAUCAAGAUUACCCAAAAACUCAUCAAAAGAAUCCCCCACAAUAGAAAAAUCAUCUAUGAACACCUCGAGGAUGUCCUCCACCAUAUCCGUGAAUAUUUCCAUCAUACACCGUUGAAAAGUAGCCGGUGUAUUACAUAGACCAAAUGGCAUCCUUGAGAUUGCAAAUGUGCCAUACGGGUAAGUGAAGGGUGUCUUCUCUUGGUCUUCAGGUGCAAUAAGAAUCUGGUUAUAUCUGGAGAACCCAUCCAAGAAGUAAUAAAAAUCACGUCCGGCUAACCUAUCCAACAUUUGAUCAAGGAAUGGAAGUGGGAAAUCGUCUUUCCGAGUCACUUUGUUGAGCUUCCUAUAAUCCAUGGAUACCCUCCAACCGGUGAUAGCUCUUGUGGGGAUCAACUCAUUGUUGUUAUUUGUAAUCACAGUCAUGCAGCCCUUCUUUGGGACACAUUGUAUCGACAAAGUCCAUGAACUAUCCUAAAUGGGGUAGACAACCCCAGCAUCCAACCACUUGAUCACCUCUUUCUUGACAACCUCUUGAAUGGCCUCAUUCAACCUUCUCUGAUGUUCCACGGAGAGUUUGGCAUACUCCUCCAAUAUGAUGUUGUGCAUGAAAAAGGCAGGGCUUAUACCCCGAAUGUCCGCCAAUGUCCAACCUAUUUCCUUCUUCCUCCUUUAGAGCACUGCAAGGGUGCCAUCUACUUGCACGUUAGUUAAGAACAAGGAACGAAUAACAGGUAAAGUGGAACAAGGGCCUAAGAACUCAUACCUGAGUUGUGAAGGCAAAGGCUUCAACUCCAAUGUGCGAGGUUCCUCGAUUGAGGCUUUGUUGGUAGAGUCUUCUGGUUCUCAAGUUCCAAGGAAAGUUUCCGGGGCUCAUAUGUAUAUGAACCCAUUACUUGUAAAGCAUUGACAUAUUCAACCAAGUCUUCCUUCUCUUCCACAUCAUGAUUCACAACACAGCUUCCAAUGGGUCUUCCACAUUAAUCACGGCACUUGUGUCUUCAAUAAUCACUUCGAUCGCUAGAUCCACAAACGAACAUACUUCGUUGCUAUUACAUUGCCUCAUUGACUUGCAAACAUGGAACACAACUUUUUCAUCGCCCACCCGGAAGGUGAGCUCUCCUACUUCCACAUCAACUAAGGCCUUCCUUAUAGCUAGGAAAGGUCUCCCCAAUAUGAUCGGCACCCAUAGUCAACCUCACAGUCAAGUAUCACAAAAUUCGCGAGAAGUAUGAACUUGUCGACCCGAACUAGCACAUCAUCAAUGAUCCCCAAUGGCCUCUUCAUUGUCCUAUCUGCCAUUUGCAACCUCAUGGAUAUGGGCCUUGGCUACCCAAUACCCAAUGGUUUGAACACAUAAUAUGGCAUCAAGUUAAUGCUUGCCCCCAUGUCGCACAAAGCUUUUGCGAAAUCGGCACUACCAAUAGUGCAUGGGUUUGUAAAGGCACUGAGGUCUUCUAGCUUUGGAGCCAUGAAAUGCACAAUAGCACUCACUUGGUGUGUCAUUUUGAUUGUUUCAUAGUUCAUUGAUCUCUUCUAUCACGCCCCGCAAUAUUACGUCGAUAUUACAUCCAACAGUAUUAUAUUAUGAUAAUGUUAUAUCCUGCAGUAUUAUAUUACGAUGAUGUUACAUCCGGAAGUAUUAUAUUACGAUGAUGUUACGCCUUGCAUUAUUACAUUACGAUGAUGUUAUUCUUCGCAGUAUUAAGUUACGACGAUGUUGCACCCUGCAGUAUUGCACAUUGAAUUUAUCGUAAGAUAAUUGACAUUAGUUCAAGGGCAAGAUUAUUUGGAGAUUACAAGCAUUAUGCUAUUCUAAGCAAGUGAUGAGUAAAUUCGUGAAGGUGAGUGGGGAAGCAAGUCAAAAAAAUGAAUUUUCGUCCAAGUUUGACAUGUUGGGGUAAAAUACGGCCCGAGCUAAAAGAUCCGGUAUUUAUAGACUAGUACCAUACAAGGUACCACAUGGCCAUGAUAAUAAGGUGUAUAAGGUAUGUUAAAAGUGAGUAGUAUUUUAGGUAAUUUGAGAUAAUUCUUAAUUAUAUGGGUAAUUGGUUAAUUAUUGAAUUAGUGGGAAAUUACCAAGUUAAUUAAGGAAUUGGUAAUUAAUUAAGAUGUGAUGGAUAAGCCUUAAGGGCACCCAACGUGGCAGCAAGUUUGGCCAAAUUGGUGACUCUUAAAGUCACAAGAAAGGUGGCAAAUUUUGGAGGAACUCUUAGGCUAAGUCAUCACCUAGUUAUCUUUUCUUUAAUUAGAAUUUUUUUUUGGAUUCCAUAAACAAAGAUUUAUACUACAUAUAACCAAAUCAUGUUUUCAUUGGCAUCACACAACUCCAACACUUCAGCCACCUCUAGGUAAUAUAGUUCAAUUUUAAGCUUUUCUUGCAUAUUGAAUCUUCAUCACAAAUAUAACGUUCAACUUCAACAAAGCCAUAAAAGGCUUUCCAAAUUCACAAAGUGAAAUUUCAACCACAAAUCUAAAGACCUCUUCCUACAUAAUUUUUGUGGAGGUGUAUGUGCUGAGUAACAAAGGAAUUCUCAAAUGGAUUCAUAUGAAAUCUCGUAACACUACAACAGUGUGAGACACAAUUCUAAGAUAGCACGGUACAAUCUUUCUCAAGAAUAUUAUACGAAUUUUUCCCUACUCCAAGUAUGUUAAGGCUAUCACGUCUUUCUUUUGGCAUGAUCCUUACGAUGCAAAUGAAACGAGCAAAUACACAACUUUAAUAAAUUACUCUAUUCGUAGAAAUGCUAAAGAUGUGUAUAUUCUUAUUCUCCCAAGUGUCAUAUUAUUCUAUCAUCUGUUCACGGGUCUCAGAAAAAUAAGUAAGUUGAAAAAAAAAUGGUUUACUUCAUGAUAUUAUUCAAAGGCAUAAUGGUCUUAUGACAUUCCAAGAGAUUUUAUUGACGUACUUUUCAUGCAUUGCAUUCACGUACAUUGACCCAUGACCAGAUUGCGUUAUAUAUGCGUAUAUAUGUAUGUAUACAUAUGUAUAUGGGAUAUGAGAAAGGUUAUGGCAUUAUAUACGCACCACCACCAGAUCAGCUGGUAUACAUUGAUAAUUUUGCCCACAGUAGCUGAGAUGAUAUGAUGGGAUUCCCUCAAAGGCUUGAUGAUAUUAUGAAACAUGUACCUAUACACGACAUGACAUUCAUACGCAUAUGCAUGACACUAUAAGUAUUUCAUGAUUGACAGAGUUAUCCAAACUUACAGGUUGAAUCAUUUAUUCUAUAUUUCUUCCAUGUCUAUUAUGUACUUAUUUAAGUGCCUUACAUACUCGGUACAUUAUUCGUACUGACUUCCCUUUUACCUGGGGAUGCUGCAUUUCAUGCCCGCAGGUCCCAAUAGACAGGUUGAGAGCCCUCUAAGUAGCUAUCAGCUUAGUGGAAGGUGUUGGUGCGGUCUAUUUGCUUCGGAGUUGCUUGUUGGGUUAGUA
rnacentral:lncRNA from 1 species